GGCAUCACCUGGGCAGCUUUUUAAAAAUUCUGCCUGUGCUUCUGAGGUGCAGCCAGUUCUGAGGACAAAUCUAACCCACUCUCUGUACAGAUGGGGAAACUGAGGCUUCAGGAGGAGAAGGGAUGUGUCCUAGGCAUCCAGGUAGCAAGGCACUCGGAGCGUGCGGAAUCAGAUCUCCAUCCCACUGAGCAUCCUCAGCUCCAAAGGUGGGAUAGGUGAGGAAAUGGCUCAGGAAGGGGAGGUGGGUCGCACCAGGGGCCUAGAACCAAAGAGAAAGGGAGGACACAAGAUGCUGUCAUCACUGUCCCAGCCAGGGGAGUGGGGAGCUGUGCAGGAGAGUCAAACCUCAGCCCCAUUACACCUUUUUAAAAACCAUGGAAGAGUGAUAUAACUUUCUUUUUUUCUUUU
rnacentral:lncRNA from 1 species